CCUACGGAGGCAGCAGUGGGGAAUAUUGGACAAUGGGCGAAAGCCUGAUCCAGCCAUGCCGCGUGUGUGAAGAAGGCCUUCGGGUUGUAAAGCACUUUCAGUGGGGAAGAAAGCCUUGGGGCUAAUACCCUCGAGGAAGGACAUCACCCACAGAAGAAGCACCGGCUAACUCCGUGCCAGCAGCCGCGGUAAUACGGAGGGUGCGAGCGUUAAUCGGAAUUACUGGGCGUAAAGCGCGCGUAGGCGGUCUGAUAAGCCGGUUGUGAAAGCCCCGGGCUCAACCUGGGAACGGCAUCCGGAACUGUCAGGCUAGAGUGCAGGAGAGGAAGGUAGAAUUCCCGGUGUAGCGGUGAAAUGCGUAGAGAUCGGGAGGAAUACCAGUGGCGAAGGCGGCCUUCUGGACUGACACUGACGCUGAGGUGCGAAAGCGUGGGUAGCAAACAGGAUUAGAUACCCUGGUAGUC
rnacentral:rRNA from 1 species